rnacentral:lncRNA from 1 species
GCAAACAUUAGCUAAUGUUUUUUAGAAUGUAUUUGAAAAUGUUGUAUGGAUUAUCCAAGUUCGCGAACUAAUCAAAAGAAAGGAAACCAAAUGUGAAGAUAUCCUCAUAAAAGAACAGGAGAGUUGGCAGCUACAGGUUAGAAUUUUGAAGUAUUCGAAAACAUCAGUUCUCUUUUUCAGUUGUAUCCCAUUUGGUCUCAAUUCUCUGGGAAAUUAUUCCCCUUCAUCUGAAUGGUAGCAGUGUUCUGUAUAUCGCAAGCAUCAUUGGUGGAAACAGAAGAGAUUCAGAAACAGUAAGAUUUUAAAUAUUGCAAACAUCUAUUAGUGUUUUGUAGAAUUUGCUGUAAGGCUAAGGUAUUACAUAGAUUAUCCAAAUUAAAUAGAUGAACAACUAAUCUAAAGCGACACCAAAUAUUCAGCAAUGCUCAAAAAGUAUAAUGGAGGAUUAUAAGAUACAGGUUAGGAUUUUGAAGUAUUCCAAAAUAGCAAUUGUAUUUUUCAGUCAUUUUUCUGUGGAUAUCAAUGUUAUGGAAUUUUACUCCCGUUUACCUAGAUAGCAGUCUGUUUUUUUGUAACUAAAAGAGGAUAUAUCCAUGGAUAGCGAA